UCCAGCCAUACCGCGUGGGUGAAGAAGGCCUUCGGGUUGUAAAGCCCUUUUGUUGGGAAAGAAAAGCAUUCGGUUAAUACCCGGGUGUUCUGACGGUACCCAAAGAAUAAGCACCGGCUAACUUCGUGCCAGCAGCCGCGGUAAUACGAAGGGUGCAAGCGUUACUCGGAAUUACUGGGCGUAAAGCGUGCGUAGGUGGUUGUUUAAGUCCGUUGUGAAAGCCCUGGGCUCAACCUGGGAAUUGCAGUGGAUACUGGGCAACUAGAGUGUGGUAGAGGAUAGUGGAAUUUCCGGUGUAGCAGUGAAAUGCGUAGAGAUCGGAAGGAACAUCUGUGGCGAAGGCGACUAUCUGGGCCAACACUGACACUGAGGCACGAAAGCGUGGGGAGCAAACAGGAUUAGAUACCCUGGUAGUCCACGCCCUAAACGAUGCGAACUGGAUGUUGGGUUCAACUUGGAACCCAGUAUCGAAGCUAACGCGUUAAGUUCGCCGCCUGGGGAGUACGGUCGCAAGACUGAAACUCAAAGGAAUUGACGGGGGCCCGCACAAGCGGUGGAGUAUGUGGUUUAAUUCGAUGCAACGCGAAGAACCUUACCUGGUCUUGACAUCCACGGAACUUUCUAGAGA
rnacentral:rRNA from 1 species